ensembl:lncRNA
GUUGACUAGAAAUGAUGGCAACACAACAUGGUUUCUUAGAGGAUAUCCUCAAGAUACAUUCCUUUACCGUUGCUUAUUAGUCUUCUGGGAUCCCAGAAGCAAAGAAUGCAAUGCUUCCUGAACUUAGAUUCAGAACGCAGGCUCCAGACCCGCGGGCUUCGGUAGUUGUGGCUCAUGGGCUCCAGAGUGUGGAACCUUAGUUGUGGUGCAUGGACUUGUUUACCAGUGGCACGUGGAAUCUUCACAGAUUAAG